AGCAGCCGCGGUAAUUCCAGCUCCAAUAGCGUAUAUUAAAGUUGUUGCAGUUAAAAAGCUCGUAGUUGAAUUUCGGGGUUAGUAGGUUGGUCAUGCCACUGGUAUGUACUGAUCUUACUGAUUCCUCCUUCCUGAUGAACCGUAAUGCCAUUAAUUUGGUGUUGCGGGGAGACUGGACUGUUACUUUGAAAAAAUUAGAGUGUUUAAAGCAGGCUAACGCUUGAAUACAUUAGCAUGGAAUAAUGAAAUAGGACGUUCGAUCCUAUUUUGUUGGUUUCUAGGAUUGACGUAAUGAUUAAUAGGGAUGGUUGGGGGCAUUAGUAUUCAAUUGUCAGAGGUGAAAUUCUUGGAUUUAUUGAAGACUAACUACUGCGAAAGCAUUUGCCAAGGAUGUUUUCAUUAAUCAAGAACGAAAGUUAGGGGAUCGAAGACGAUCAGAUACCGUCGUAGUCUUAACCAUAAACUAUGCCGACUAGGGAUCGGAUGAUGUUAAUUUUUUAAUGACUCAUUCGGCGCCUUACG
rnacentral:rRNA from 1 species